rnacentral:lncRNA from 1 species
UGAUUUAUCAUUUGUGAAAGAUGAAGUAAACCACCAAGGUAAUGAUACAAAAUCUGAAAGUGCUCGCCCGUUAAUUUUGGAGUUUUGUAACUGAACACCAGUCUCGCCGCCAAAAGGAGAUAAUAGAAAAAUGUGGCAUGUGCCCCUAGAUGAAAUUACAGCUAUCCAUUCACUAUAUUGGCUAAAACAAAUGUCUUGUAUCACCUCGGAUGUCAUGCCACGAUGGAGCUUGUAAAGAUGCACAUGAGCAGAAUUCCAAUUAAAGUUUUGGCUUCCUGAAUCACAUUGUGAGGAGGAUGGAAGGAUCCGGA